UUGACAGCGAUGUCCGUAACUGCCUGGUAGUGGGCCGUUCGGAGCCACGCGGAGUUUGUUAUGGAGAGCAGUGAUGUCAGUGGGCCAUUCGGAGCCAUGUGGAGUCUGUUAUGGAGAGUGGAGUGGUGUCCGUUUUUGCGAUUUGUCAGAGAGUUCGGGUCGGAAGGCUAAAGCUCGGUUGGGGCAUCUGGUGGAACGGAAUAGCUCUCUGCCUCAGCAAUCUGAGAGGAGCUCAAAUAUUUUUGAGGUUGCUGAUGGGUUAACUAUUGUUGGGUGCUGUUGGUGUUGCAAAUGGAAGUCAUCUACUGUAGA
rnacentral:lncRNA from 1 species